CCCAUGCCCUGAUGUGCUCGAGCUCGAGCAAGGAGACGCUCCCAAGUCUAUCCCCUCCUUCUAGAGACCCUUCAUCGCAUCGGCACUGCCCUGCAUCUCCUGUGUGCCUCGUUUUCCCCUUGUAAGAAGCUCUGUCCGAUCUGAUUUCGUUGCCUUUUUUACUAGAUCCGUUCUGGACGAUUAUGUUUAUUAGGUUUGCCACGACAUUUCUAGACAAGCAACACUAGUGGCCGAGGUGGCUAGCGUCUUUCGUUAGCAACCACGAGGUGUGAGAUUCGAAUACCACUCACCCCGAUUUUUCCUUUUGAUAUAUUUAUGAUUUAGGUUCGCCCACGGUUUAGUUUUAUCUAGCCCAGUGCUCAUAUGUUGGACAUAAUCACAGAUCUAGCACACUGGUAUGUGCCUUGUAGUGAAACCCACGGGUCUUUGGUUCAAAUCCGAGCUGCCCCAUGUUAUUUUUUCUGUCUGUUAUUUUUAAUCAUUGUCACAUGCUUUGUCCUGAUCUGGCGCUCGGUUGCGCUGUGUCUUCAGAUUCGUCCCAGUUCUUUUUUUUAACCUAUGCUAGGAAUUUUGCUAAUUUUCAGAAAAAUCAACAUAUUUUCAAAUGCCCGUAGUUUCUAAUCCAUGCAUCGGAUUGCGAUGAGUUAUAUAUGUAGCUUGGCUAGAAUUUCACGUAGGUUAAUAAUUUUCAACUCUCAUGCGUAAUUAGAACUAUUUAGUGUGCUGUUUGCAUCGGUUGCGCGUCGACGUGUUGAAAACGGUUUAGGUCGUAACUAUUUGUCCAUAGCUCCGUAGGAGAUGUGCCAUAUAUGUAAAUGGAUCAGAACAACGAGUCGAAUCACGUGAACCACUUUGUUUCGCCGUUAAACAAACCUAAAAUGUGAUUAGGACAAAUCUGGACAUAACUAAGAUUUAACACGUGGGGUCAUUUUGGAGAUGCUAUAUGUAGUUUCCGGUCUCAUUUAAAAUACUAGCUAGGUAGAUUAAUUUGUGCUUCACCCUCGCACCAUGUUUAACAACAUUUAAUAUAGCUGUGUACCUGAACCGGAGUGAACUAAAUAAUUAAACGUGGAGUUUCGUCGAUAUGCAACUCGUUGCAUAUCGAGCUUCACUUAAUGUGUAGUGUUUGAAUGUUGUGAUUGUCAUGCCUUGCAUUAGUCCGUUCAUGCAUCAUAUGUGUUGUGCAUCGUGUGUUGAAUAUCGUGUGAUGAUGCUUGUUUCUGGUUUCCUCCAUCUCGAUAGAGUUCCACAAGCGUGUCGGAAGUGAGGACCCGUUCGACUACAUCGGUUCGUGUGCUUCACGGAGUCACUCUUCUUCCAAGCGGGAUCUCAGGCAAGAUGACCAUUUCCCCAGAUACCAUUACUAUCAUUGCCAUGCUAGUUUUACCGUUUCUACCGUUUACGUCUCGUUGCCUACCACAUGUUAAAUAUCAGCCUCUCAACAAUGCCAUGAUUACCUUCAACCUGGUCGACCUAGGAAACCACUGAUUGGCUAUGUUACCGCUUGCUUAUCCAUGUUGUUAGCGUUGGUAGUUGCAGGUGCACAUGCUUCCAUGUGUUAACAUGGGUUCCUUAUUAUAUCACCACAUUAAUGCUAUUUAAUAUAAUGCACCUAUAUACUUGGUAAAAGGUGGAAGGCUCGGCCUUCCUAGCCUGGUGUUUUGUUCCACCUUUGCCCCCUUAGUUUCGGCUACCGGUGUUAUGUUCCAUAUACGAGCACUCCUAACAUGAUCAGGGUUGUUGUGGGGACCCCCUUGAUAAUUUGUUUUAGAUUAAAGCUGGUCUAGCAAGGCCCAACAUUGGUACUACAUUUGCCCAACAUAAUAACUUUGAUAAUACUAAAAGCAUAGGGCGUCAUGAACCCGAGGAGUAAUUUCACAUAAUACAGGGGGGCAGUGAUGUUGGUGCUGGUCCAAAACUAGAGCCGUUUGCGGGGCCAACCCGGGGCAACUGGGGAGAUUUCUAUCAGGCCACCGUACGCUGUGCUUAUCCGUCGUGUCCUGAGAACGAGAUACGCGGCUGCUAUCGGGAUCGUCGACACGCCGGGCAGCCUUGCUGGAUUUGUUUUACCUUUGACGAUAUAUCUUGUGCAUCGGGAUUCCGGUGAUGCUUUGGGUAAUCUCAGAGUUGAGGUUUUCCACUAGGGAAUCCGAUGAGAUCGCGAGCUUCGUGAUUGAGGAUUUCUAUGCGGCUUGUGGUAAUUUCUGAUGGACUAGUUGGAGCACCCCUGCAGGGUUAAAUCUUUCGGAAAGCCGUGCCCACGGUUAUGUGGCAACGUGGAAACUUUGUUUAACCGUGCUUCUAGAUAACUUGAAGUUAAUUUAAUUAAGAUAUGCCAACUGUGUGCGUAACCGUGACUGUCUCUUUCGUGAGUUCCUUCUCCGAUCGAGGACACGGUGGGGUUAUGUCUGACGUAGGUAGGUGUUCAGGAUCAUUCAUUUGAUCAUCAGUAGUUCACGUCCGCUAUGCGUAGAUCAUCCCCCUCUUAUUUCCUGUACUCGUAAGUUUAGCCACCAAAUAUGUGCUUAGUCGUUGCUGCAACCUCACCACUUAACCAUGCCUCACCCAUUAAGCUUUGCCAGUCUUGAUACCUCUAGAAAUGAGAUUGCUGAGUCCCCUGUGGCUCACAGAUUACUACAACACCAGUUGCAGGUACAGGUAAAGGUUAUUUGUCGCGAGCGCGUUGGUUGUUCAUUUGGAUUGCUUCUUCUUCUUCUUCAUCAUCGAUCUAGGAUGGGUUCCAGGCCGGCAGCCUGGGAUAGCAAGGAUGGACGUCGUUCUUCUUUUCCCGUUUGUUUUCGUCCGUAGUCGGACCCUCCUCUUACUCUUGAUGAUUAUGUAAUGUAGUGAUGUGACUCUGAUGUAGCUUGUGGCGAGUGUAAGCCAAUUCUGUCAUAUCUCUCUUCUUUUCAGUACAUGUACUUGUAACGAUAUCCAUUCUUGUGACACAACGAGAUGCGCUUCUAUCCCUGACGAGGCCCCCGUGCCAAAUUGAGGAUAGGGUCGCAUCUUGGGCGUGACAAGUUGGUAUCAGAGCAGUACCGACCUAGGAGCCCCCUUGAUUGAUCGAACAUGGUUGAGUCGAGUCUAGUGAAAAACUGCUUUGAGUCUAGUUAUAUAUCAGGGAGUAGGAUUCUUUUUUCUCCUCUUCUAUGCUCUGGUGAGGAAUCUUGACGUAAUAAUUUAAUUCUACUCCUCUUCUCACUCAAAAAAAAAUUAGGAUCACACGGAUAUUUUUGGAAUCUAUAUGAUGCCGAUGUGACGGAGUUCUGUCUUGGUGCCUCCUAUGUGCUUUGAGUUUCAAGGGAGUUGAGCUCCAGGGGAUUCUUGAGCACAUCGUUAUCAUUCAUAUUUCUUAGUAUCUCAAAAUGAAGGAUGUUCAUAAUUGCUUCAAUACUAGUAGUGGCGAGAUAACCCCGAUGUCCCUAGUACUGGUGCAGAUUGUUCGGGAGUACUGCCAUACUUUGUAUCGUUGUGAUCAUGAGGAUCUGUUGUAGAUGAAGGUCCGAGAUUCUGGUUGUGUGUUGGCGUAUGUGAUACAAGUGACGGGUUAGUAUAGGAGUUGUGUGAUAUUACUCCUUGUAUCCGUGUACCAGAUUGCAUGACCAGAUAUUUCGGGGAUUCAUAGGUGGGAAUUCAAGUAGUUACUUAUAGGACGAUCUUCCAACAAAUUCAUGUUGCUUCGAUGUCAAGUGGUGAUUUCAGAUCUUUUCUAAGAGGUGUUCUCAUAUUUUUAUGAGAGUAUUAAUCAUUUUGCUUAAUCAGUUGUCUUAUCAUUUCUUUUUAACCGGAGUCGUCAUGUUAAUUCCUUUUUAACCGGUUUGCUUCUCUUCAGUGAAUUCAAUCCUCUUUAAUUUUUGCAAGAUCAUUCUCUCAUUUUAUUCCGGAGUUCAUCUCAUCUAGCCCAAGUUAUCUUUGUUUUCCCCACCCUCCCGCCCUUUUUCUCAGUGAUUUAGUUUUCAUCCAAGAGUUUUCUUUUCAUGUGCUUCCGUCUGUUCUUUUCUCUCUUACCCGGUGAUUCGUUGUGAAGAUUCUCAGGAGCUUCAUGUUCAUAUUUAUUCAUUCUUAUUAUCUUUUUCGGUGAAUUUAAUUCAGUUGUCCGUGUUCGUCAUAUCCUUGCGUCCUUGUAAUUCUUUCCUAUGUUGGAGAUUCGUUUCAGCCUAUCUUGCUAUUCAUUUCCCUAUAGUCUAUCCAGAGUGCUGAAGUUAUCUCAGAAAUUCUUUUUUUUCAAUUCUUUCAUUGAUUUCGGGCUGCUAACCUCGUCUAGUCUUCAUUUGUACCGGUGCAAUAUCCCUCUUCUAAGCAAUCUUGUCAACGGUGAUUUCUUUGAGUGGUCCCAUAACCCACAGGUUCUUUCCCAGCAUCUUUCCUGGCUCUUUUAAUCUUUUCCCGGAGAUCAUAAAAUUUUCAACUAUGACGUAAGUAUGAUUUUCAUCAGUCAUAUUCCUUCUUCAAGAUCAAUUUGAAUUAAUUCUCAUAUUUGGCUCAACCUUUCAUUCUUCACUAUUCCGGAGUAUCUCAGUUAUUCUUGGUGGUGUGCUCCUCAUCAUUUCAGUUUUGAAGACCGAAGGAGUUUUCCUCUCAAAUCUUGGUUCAUCCUCUUGCAGAUUCGUCAUUUCAGCGUUGUGUUAUCAUCUUGAAUUGUUCCAAUCAUGCGUAUCUAUUUCUUGCUUUCCAGUGCUUCUCUGAGUUGUUUUCAUUCUCGAUCCUCCGAAGGCCAUCAUUUCAGAAGAUUCUUCGUUCUCAGCUUUUAGCUUUCAUCCUCAAUUCUUCUCCAUUGUUGUCUCUUCGUUCGUCUCUCAAUUAUUCUGGUUCCUUGUUCUAGUUUUCUAUUAGGUGGCUCAUGAUCUCUUCUUUAUCAUGUAUCUCCAUUAAUUUGUGGUGUUCCCAUUCAAUUGUGAAUUCUUACCGGUGCUUCCUUCAAUUUUGCCUCAAGUGUUGCUUAUCUCUCUAUCUCUUCAAGUCUCUUUCAAGAAUAAUAAGUGCUACGCUAAAUCCGUUGCUUGUCAUCAAUUAAACUUGAUGAAGGAUUAGCAUAACAUAAUUCUUAUUCUUGUUCAUAGUAAUCUGAAUUCUUCUUCCGGAGUGGCUCAUGAUAUCAAUCCCUUUUCUCAAGUGUUCUUAUCUUUUCUUUUCCGGAGUCCCAAGUUUUGUCAGUUAUCUCGUUGUGAAGCUUCAUCUAAAUCUUGGCAAGGUCUUAAUCUUUCAUCCUUCUUAUCUUUGCUUCAUCCUUUUCAUAUGGAGGCUCGUCAUGGUGGUUCUUCAAGGGGGAUUCUCAUGUGUUCUUCAAGAUUCCUGUUGGAAUACCUCAAGUAUUCUUUCUCUUCCAUUUUCAGUGCAUUUGUUCUUCCGUUAUCCUUUGAGGUGGUAUUAUAGCAUUCUUGUUAGUGUAGGAGCCUCGAAGAGAUUUCCUUUCAAGAAUGAGAUAAUUAAACCCACCAAUUCUAUGAUCAUGAGAUAUUUCAACCCAUGAAUAAUUCAUUGAGCUAUCUUGGUUUAGACUUCACCUAAAGCUUUUCCUAUGGUGGUGCUAUCAUGGUGCUUGUCAUUAAUCCCAGUUCUCAAUGCACCCUCUUGGUGUAAGAAGUUUUGAUAUCUUUGCUUUCUUCUAUUCUUGUUCUUUUAGUGGUUGGUUGUCACCUCAUAAUUGUUGAGAUGAUUUCCAUAAGCCCACUACUAUCUUGUUCUUUUCGUUGUUGGUUUUCCUACUACUAAGUCAAUUCUCUUUCCGGAGGCUCUUCAAUUCUAUUGUGAUGAUAGUUGUCAUUCUUUUGCUUCAUUCCCUUCUUCCGCUUGAGCUAGUUUCUAUUCUAUUGUUCCGGAAGCUUUGUGAUGUUGCUCUUUUGGGUCUAUUAUGUUGUUCUAUCAAGAUCAUGGUGUUCCCUUGUUCUAUUUACUUUUUUGUUGUGAUCAUUGUCUAAUUCUACCUUCUUAUCGAAUUUUUUUGUCCCAUUUUCCUACCGAAGUGCUGCCGAAAUUUUUCAUGAAUUCUUGCUUCUUUCUCAUAUCAUUCCUCAUCUCCUUGCAACCUUCAAGGAUUGUUGGUGUCACUCGUUUGUCAAGAAGCGACUAAAUUUUUACCUCUUGUUCGUUCUCAUCCUCCCCCCUUUCAUUCUUGGAUAUCGGGGCGAGAUCCUCUUGUAGUGUAGGAGAGUUGUGACAACCCGAUGCCGACGUUCCAGAAGAUUCCCCUUUCUUUCCGUUUUCGUCGUGUCUCUAUUUUCUUUUGUCGCAUCAUCAUCGCAUCAUGCGCAUCAUCUGCAUUGCAUCGGCAUCUCCGUUGCCGCCAGUUUUCAAAAGUUGCAUCCGUUGUCAGUUGCCGGUUCUCGUCGUUGUCCGUUCCGAGCCCGACCACACACGCACGUGCCCGCGACAACGUCAAAAUCUUGUUUUCAAAAGUGUGUUCAAAAAUUUCCCUGUUUGGGUUGGAACUUGGCGUGCGGUCGUAAUUAGUUGUAGCUAGGCGCCUGUCAAGUUUCCUUGCAAUCGGAGUCCGUCUCGUGCCCGAACGGUCGACCGUAGCGGCACCGUAUUCGGUCUAUCGUCGGACAUUUUCCGGUAUUUUAAAUCUCGUUGCCGGGCUGCCCGUUUUCCCUCUCAUCUCCGCCUAGCCUCUCUGCACAGUGCACCGACCCUACGCGCAGCCUAGUUCGAAAACCUCCCAGAACCCGAACCGGGCGGUCGUGAUCGUUGGAUCCGGAUCAACCCCGUUUUACCACAAACCAUCAUCGGUUUGUCCAUUGGACCACCUAACCUAGUUAUUUUUUUGACCGGCUGAUUUAAGUUAGAGGGUCCAAAAAGACCUAGACCUAAACCGAUUUAGUAUAUAUAGACCUACCUAUCCCCAAUUAGACCAAAACCUAGUUUCUAGGGAUCCUCCCCCGUCUCAUCCGCGCGCCGCCACCCACCUCGGGGUCCAACCCGAUCCAACCACACACAUCGCGCCGCACGAGUUCUUCCCUCCAUCCCUGAGCCUGUGACCUUCCCAGCCCGAGAGCAUGUGUCCCAUCUCCAUGCGAGCUCGGACGCGUCAAGCGCUCGGAUGAAGAGCCACUCCCGCGACAUCUCCUGCACGCUGGAGCUCCCUGACCAGCAGUGCCGCUGCGCCCGUACUGGCCGGCGACCAACCCACGCAUGCCCCGUCGCGCCCUUCUCUCUUCUUCCUCUCCUCUCACCUCCCCGUCUCUUCUUUCUCCUCCAGGAGGAGAACCAUGGCGCCCGAGAUUCAGGAAGGCCCAUCGUAGCGGGCCCUCGUCUUCAUCAAGAUCCAUCCGGAACUGGUCUGGAGCGGCCGAAUCUGUGUUGCCCCUUGCCUCUCCGCCAUUCGUGCCUCGCGUUGGAGCCUCUCCUUGGCCGAACACGGAGGAGCUGCUGCCUCGCCCGCUGUCAUGGCCGUCCCGAGUUCCCUAGCCGCCGGAGCCAUGCUACAAUACCGACCCCAUGCCCUGAUGCGCUCGAGCUCGAGCAAGGAGACGCUCCCAAGUCUAUCCCCUCCUUCUAGAGACCCUGCAUUGCGCCGGCACUGCCCUGCAUCUCCCGCCUGCCUCGUUUUCCCCUUGUAAGAAGCUCUGUCCGAUCUGAUUUUGUUGCCUUUUUUUUACUAGAUCCGUUGUGGACUGUUAGGUUUAUUAGGUUUGCCACGACAUUUCUAGACAAGCAACACUAGUGGCCGAGGUGGCUUGCGGCUUUCGUUAGCAACCACGAGGUGUGAGGUUCGAAUCCCACUCA
rnacentral:lncRNA from 1 species